rnacentral:snoRNA from 1 species
CUGGCGGAUAGGAACCAGUUAGUACCUAUGUUCUGAAUGGGCCGACAACCCGCCGAAAUAAUUUGAGAUGCAGUAUGGUCGCUUGUUAUCUUAUUUGAUCUACGAGCAUUACCACUGAGUCAAACAGUA